rnacentral:rRNA from 1 species
AUUGAACGCUGGCGGCAGGCCUAACACAUGCAAGUAGAGCGGAGCGGCGGACGGGUAAGUAAUGCCUAGGAAUCUGCCUGGGAGUGGGGGAUAAAGUACGGAAAAGGGCGCUAAUACCGCAUACUAUCAGAUGAGCCUAGGUCGGAGUAGCUAGUUGGGUGGGUAAAGGACUACCAAGGCGACGAUCCGUAAAUGGUCUGAGAGGAUGGUCAGUGACACUGGAACUGAUACACGGUCCAGACUCCUACGGGAGGACGCAGGGGGGAAUAUUGGACAAUGGGCGAAAGCCUGAGCCAGCCAUGCCGCGUGUGUGAAGAAGGUCUUCGGAUUGUAAAGCACUUUAAGUUGGGAGGCGUUACCAACAGAAUAAGCACCGGCUAACUUCGUGCCAGCAGCCGCGGUAAUUC